rnacentral:rRNA from 1 species
UACCGCAUAACGUCGCAAGACCAAAGAGGGGGACCUUCGGGCCUCUUGCCAUCGGAUGUGCCCAGAUGGGAUUAGCUAGUAGGUGGGGUAACGGCUCACCUAGGCGACGAUCCCUAGCUGGUCUGAGAGGAUGACCAGCCACACUGGAACUGAGACACGGUCCAGACUCCUACGGGAGGCAGCAGUGGGGAAUAUUGCACAAUGGGCGCAAGCCUGAUGCAGCCAUGCCGCGUGUAUGAAGAAGGCCUUCGGGUUGUAAAGUACUUUCAGCGGGGAGGAA